rnacentral:rRNA from 1 species
CCUACGGGGGCUGCAGUGGGGAAUAUUGGACAAUGGGCGAAAGCCUGAUCCAGCCAUGCCGCGUGUGUGAAGAAGGCCUUCGGGUUGUAAAGCACUUUCAGUGGGGAAGAAAGCCUUGGGGCUAAUACCCUCGAGGAAGGACAUCACCCACAGAAGAAGCACCGGCUAACUCAGUGCCAGCAGCCGCGGUAAUACGGAGGGUGCGAGCGUUAAUCGGAAUUACUGGGCGUAAAGCGCGCGUAGGCGGUCUGAUAAGCCGGUUGUGAAAGCCCCGGGCUCAACCUGGGAACGGCAUCCGGAACUGUCAGGCUAGAGUGCAGGAGAGGAAGGUAGAAUUCCCGGUGUAGCGGUGAAAUGCGUAGAGAUCGGGAGGAAUACCAGUGGCGAAGGCGGCCUUCUGGACUGACACUGACGCUGAGGUGCGAAAGCGUGGGUAGCAAACAGGAUUAGAUACCCCAGUAGUC